AGAAUCAACGCUGGCGGCGUGCCUAACACAUGCAAGUCGAACGAGAAAGUGGGAGCAAUCCCAUUAGUAAAGUGGCGCACGGGUGAGUAACACGUGACUAACCUACCCUUGAGUGGGGGAUAACCUAGGGAAACCUGGGCUAAUACCGCAUAAUACCCACGGGUCAAAGCAGCAAUGCGCUUGGAGAGGAGUUCGCGGCAGAUUAGUUAGUUGGCGGGGUAAUGGCCCACCAAGACGAUGAUCUGUAUCCGGCCUGAGAGGGCGCACGGACACACUGGAACUGAAACACGGUCCAGACUCCUACGGGAGGCAGCAGUGGGGAAUUUUGCGCAAUGGGGGAAACCCUGACGCAGCAACGCCGCGUGGAGGAUGAAGCCCCUUGGGGUGUAAACUCCUUCGAUCGGGAAGAUAAUGACGGUACCGAUAUAAGAGCCCCGGCUAACUUCGCGCCAGCAGCCGC
rnacentral:rRNA from 1 species